rnacentral:rRNA from 1 species
GUAGUCUCGCACAGAUGCAUAUCAAUAAGCGGAGGAAAAGAAACUAACAAGGAUUCCCUCAGUAACGGCGAGUGAAGCGGGAAGAGCUCAAAUUUGAAAUCUUGAAAGGUCACCUUUCACGAGUUGUAGUUUAAAGAAGUGUUUUCUGUUACGAUCGUAAUAUAAGUUCUUUGGAAUAGGACAUCACAGAGGGUGAGAAUCCCGUCUAUGAUUGCGAUUUGUAGCUUUGUGAUACACUUUCAAAGAGUCGGGUUGUUUGGGAAUGCAGCCCAAAACGGGAGGUAAAUUUCAUUCUAAAGCUAAAUAUUGGCGAGAGACCGAUAGCGAACAAGUACCGUGAGGGAAAGAUGAAAAGAACUUUGAAAAGAGAGUUAAAUAGUACGUGAAAUUGUCAAAAGGGAAGCGUUUAACACCAGUGUUGUUUUCUGAAAAUCAACCUCUGUUAGCUUUAUGCAUGUUUGUUUAGACCUAAUCAGCUAUCUUGCAUGUUCUAUUGUUUGCAGUGGUGCACUUUUCAGUUUACAGGUCAACAUCAGUUUUUUUUACCGUAAAAAAGUUAAAGAAAGGUAGCUCAUGGCUCCGGUCGUGAGUGUUAUAGUCUUUUUCCUAUGCGGUAGGAGAGACUGAGGUCUGCAGUGUAGGCUAUUUGGCUAGAUACUCAGGUGCUAUGUGAUACCAUUUCAUAAACAACUUGUUGAUUAUGUUUUGUCUAUUGCAUACUCGCUUGUACUAUCAUACCUACGCUUAGGAUGUUGAAGAUGUAGCACAUCAU